rnacentral:sRNA from 1 species
GACGAGACGGGAAGCCGCCGUGUCGACCU